rnacentral:SRP_RNA from 1 species
GCUGGGUGUGGUGCCGUGUGCCUGUGGUCCUAGCUACUCAGGAAGCUGAGGUGGGAGGAUUGUUUGAGCCCAGGAGUUCGAGGUUGCGGUGAGAUAUGAUUGCACCACCGCACCCCACUUGGGCAACAGAACAAGACCCUGUCUCUU